AAAGCACACUGAUAAUGGAUAUUGCCUUCUUUUCAGCACCAAUGGCCAUUUUGAGUCACUUGGUGACAUGAUGAUUCGAGGAGCAUGACCGGCAAACCUACCUUCAGUUUUAACUUAUGGUCUGGUAUUCCUGGGGACGUUAAGGUGUUGAGGAGCUCAGUAGGCUGCAUGUUCAUCAUGAUGUUGGUAUUUGUCAUUGCCUUGCACACUGUGUCCAGGCUUAGGCAUGCAAGUGCAUUUGGUGAUGACUACUAAUGGACAUUGUCACAUACAGUACAUCUGGAGAUUAAUGUUG